CACAUUUUAAAGAAAAUGUACAGCAUUGAAGAAGCUUUCACAGUGGAGGGUAGCUGUGCUACCUAAGCGUUCCCUAGGCCUCCAACUUUACAUGGUAUUGCACUAGGGGAACUUGGUGUGCUGACUCUAAGGAACAGUACAGAACGUAGAGCGGAGUGGAGACACCACGGAUAGGCUCUGUGAUGAGACAGGGACCUGAUGCUCUUUAUGCGCACCGAGACUGAUAAGCUGCAUGUUUACUAUCCUUGUGAGAAAAAUCUCAAAUAAUUUUCUUCAGACAGGAUCUUCUGUGAAGCUAUUUUAUUCGUGAUUGCAAUGGCUGGCAUCCUGUCAGUCAGGAGCGCAUUUUAGUAAACAAAUCAUAACCUUUUAUUCCCUAUUACCCGACGCCUGAUCACCUCCCCUGUUUCCUCAUUGGCUGAGUACUACAGGUUCACAAGCUACUCAACACUCCUCUAUACCAUGUAUGUACAAUUUUUCUGUUUUUUCAACCCUUUAAUUUCUCCUUUCUUAUGUUUAGAGAACUUGUGAUCUUUGUUUUACUAUUCUCACACUGCUCAUCUUGUUUUUCUCAAGCUUCUACCUUAUUUUGGAACAGUGAGGCCUUUACUAUCCACUUAUCUACAGGUGACCCAUUCAGCGGUGCACUAAGGGUUAAGAAGAAGGUUACUCACAGGCAUAGAGUGGUAACCAGGCUAGAAUAAGAGGAAGUGGGAACCAAUAAGAAGUUGCUAGACUCGGACGGGCCUAUAGAGGGCUAUGCAUGAUCAAAAGGGAUGCACCAAUCAGAAGUCUGUAACUACGCAUGCUAGCCGCGUGCAGUGCAUGUAGCUGGCUCAGAAAGCUACAUAAUAUCUGGCAUUGGAACAAUAAAGGGUCUCCAUUUCUCGACUAUCUUGGAGUCUGUGUCCUCAUUCCCUUCACUUAUCUACUUAGCCUUUCUCCUUAUUAUGACUACACAAUUACCUUGGAAUACAGAAAAGUAAUUCUCUACUGCAAAAACACAACUUUGUUUCUCACACCCUGAGCCAACAACCUGUCAUGGUUUUGACAAAACGUUGUACUCUAGUGAACUUUUGCUCAUUAUAUCAUUAUAAUACCAAAACACACCUCCAUCUCAAAAGCUCCAUGCCUCCAAGCUGCGACCACCCCUCACUGAGCACACGCUCUGAAUUUCUCAGUCCCCUAUACCUUUAAA